rnacentral:pre_miRNA from 1 species
AGUGGGAUGACUGGGUCAAAUGGUGAUUCCAUUUCAAGUUUUCUGAGGAAUAUCCAUACUGCUUUCCAAAGUGGUUGUACCAAUUUGCAGUCUCACCAGAAAU